GGGAAGGGCCAUAGCUCAGGGGUUGGAGCAUCUGCUUGGCAUGCAGAGGGUCACAGGUUCAAUGCCUGGCCUCCCUA